rnacentral:lncRNA from 1 species
GCGAGGGACGCGCGGGGCGGGUGCCGGCGUUAGAGCGAGAGGAAGUGGAAGGCGCCUCUUCGUUCUCUCUUCCGCGCUUCGCUGAGGGACUCACUCGCGCAUCACCCGCGGCUGCCGGUCGAGUGUCCCAGGCGCUCCGGGGCCGCGGUGACCCUCGCGGUGCGGACCGAGGAGGAAGCGCCGUGGGGGGCGGGGCGGCGCCGCACGAUCCGGCCUUCAGCUUCACGGACGUGGGCUGAGAACCCGCCCGCGCCGCGCUGAGCAGGGCCGAGGGAGCCGGCCAGGGCCCCAGAGGAGUCCGGAACGGAUUCCCGUCGCUACCGAGGUCUGCGCGUGUAAGGAGAGGACGUCGGAGAUUUGCCUCGAGGGGUGGGGUAUAGAUGACUGGAGAGGUCAGGCGCGGGUUGGUCAUCGCUGAGGCUGGGUGAUGGGUGGCCGGAUUCGUUAUACUGUUUUCUCCACUUUUCUGUAUGUUUGAUAUUUUUCAUAAUAAAGUUUGUAAAAGUAAAAACGG